rnacentral:rRNA from 1 species
AUUGAACGCUGGCGGCAGGCUUAACACAUGCAAGUCGAGCGGGGUGAUGGUGCUUGCACUAUCACUUAGCGGCGGACGGGUGAGUAAUGCUUAGGAAUCUGCCUAUUAGUGGGGGACAACAUCUCGAAAGGGAUGCUAAUACCGCAUACGUCCUACGGGAGAAAGCAGGGGAUCACUUGUGACCUUGCGCUAAUAGAUGAGCCUAAGUCGGAUUAGCUAGUUGGUGGGGUAAAGGCCUACCAAGGCGACGAUCUGUAGCGGGUCUGAGAGGAGGAUCCGCCACACUGGGACUGAGGCACGGCCCAGACGCCUACGGGAGGCAGCAGUGGGGAAUAUUGGACAAUGGGGGGAACCCUGAUCCAGCCAUGCCGCGUGUGUGAGGAAGGCCUUAUGGUUGUAAAGCACUUUAAGCGAGGAGGAGGCUCUUUUGGUUAAUACCCAAGAUGAGUGGACGUUACUCGCAGAAUAAGCACCGGCUAACUCUGUGCCAGCCGCCGCGGUAA